GAGAGAUUGGUAUGGACGAGCUACUCGCCAAUCCGGUCAGGUCUGAAAGGAAGCAGCCGUAACGAGCUCAGCUUGGGUCAUGUCCAAUCUCUCACU
rnacentral:SRP_RNA from 1 species